UACGUAGGGUGCGAGCGUUUAAUCGGAAUUACUGGGCGUAAAGCGUGCGCAGGCGGUGCUGUAAGACCGAUGUGAAAUCCCCGGGCUUAACCUGGGAACUGCAUUGGUGACUGCAGCGCUGGAGUAUGGCAGAGGGGGGUGGAAUUCCACGUGUAGCAGUGAAAUGCGUAGAGAUGUGGAGGAACACCGAUGGCGAAGGCAGCCCCCUGGGCCAAUACUGACGCCUCAUGCACGAAAGCGUGGGGAGCAAACAGGAUUAGAUAC
rnacentral:rRNA from 1 species